CACUGUGUGGGCGUCAUAUCUGCCUGCUAAUCCGCUAGGACGCUAACCUGUUAUGAGCUAAACAGCUCUCAGAAUAAAUUAAUGUACAGUAAUUACAUUAAAAUGUUUCACUGAGCUCGAAUGGCAGGAAUGCAUUUGCAUAAGAAUUUGCAUAUUAAUGAAUGUUAAUAAUUCUCUGCAUUAUGUAUCAAGCUAGAAGAAUUCAGUGCAAUUGGAGCCUUCAGUCAUGUGACGAGGAGACAAGAAGAUUCAAACAUGUCUCCGUGUCAGGACAGAAUCUCAGAUGGUGUGAAGAAAACACAGGUCUCAAGGAGCCCCAGGUGUGUGGUGUGUAAUUACGGCGGAGAAGAAAAGACGGCAGCAGGUGGGCUUCACACCCUGGAAACUGCGAGAGUGUAAACGACAGACAGCCUGAAGUCAGUCAGCGAGCACAGAUGUGGCUUAUAUAAUCUCUGCACAGACAUACGCCCAGAAAUCUUAAACAAAAGCCCAAAACAUGCUAGCACUAAACCCAAAUGUUGACAAAGUGAAAGGUUUUAGCCGCACUGAAACUUCCUGGGUACAAAAUUUCACUGAGAAUUCAUUCUUCUGUCUUUUUUUGUGGUACAUUUUAGCCAAACGGUGAUCUAUUUUUUUCUUCACCGUCACACUGCAUUUGUUUAAAAUCUCCUCUAGUUAAUCUCGACCUUGUUUCUCGUACUAGCAGACACUGACUUUGCUAAUGAGGAUGCAGGGAAGGUUUGCUUCUGAUGACUCUUCCAUGCAGAUCACAUUUGUGAAGCACUUUCUUAUAGUUCCUUUUUCGAGAGUUUUAUCGAUCUUAACUCCCGAGUCUCGAUGACGUUCCAUAGGAAGGCAUUAGCUUCAUUUUUAUUGUUUAGCUGACUGAUUCUUAGCACAAUGUCUUGAGUCUUAAUGAAUAAGGCCUCUAUAAACUAUAAUAUAAUAUAACUAGAUAUAAAA